rfam:Oryza meridionalis cultivar OR44 (W2112) chromosome 3, whole genome shotgun sequence.
AAUAAAUGUAGUUUCGCACUGUUCAUGUUCAACUUUGACUGCUCAUCUUACUUGAAUUUUUUUAUUAGUAUUUUUUAUUAUUGUUAGAUGAUAAAAUAUAAAUAGUACCUUAUACAUGACUCUCUUUUUUUCAUAAUUUUUUCAAAUAAUAUGGACAGACAAAUAUUGGAUACGGAUAUCCACGGCUACACUUAUC